UCCUAUCCCCUGCCACCUGUAGGUUUACUGAGCCUUCACCUACACUAUCGACACAGAUAGAGAGAGCCUCAUCUUUUGGGUUUCGGUUAUUUGCUCGACACAGAGAGAGAUGGAGCGAAGUAAACAGAGGAAGAAAGGAGAGAAGAAGAGGCCAUCCCUUCAAAAUGUCCAUCGUUAGGGUGGAGUUUGGCAUUGGAGGCUUAAUCGUGGACACCAAGGUGUUUUAUUGGCCAAGAAAGGUCUUUUGCUAUGGAUUUCUGGUAUUUGUGUAGAUUUGGAUCCUUCUCAGCUUUGCUGAUUAAAAUUUUUCGUGUGCUUAGCUUUGCUAUUUGAAGAAGAUGAAUGGGAAAAUGAGCUCUUCUUCAGCUUCAGAAGAAAGACGAGAUUGAAAAGAAGAGAGGGGCCUUACCAAAAUUAGGGGUUUAAGACAGAGCGAGCAAGCAAGCACCCUGAUCACACUGACUGGGGAUCUCACUCAUUGAUAUGGCCAUUACUUAAGGUCUCCAUUGUUCUCACGUGUCAUGACUCAGUAGCUGACCCUGCAGCACUCAAAUCAAAUUGCCUAAUUGUACAGCUGAUUUUGUGAGUUAAUUUCUCUUCAUUUUUUUUUUCAGAUCUGUGAUUGGUUUUCUUGCAUGGUUGAAUUUGAAAGGUUUGGAAAUUCGUUAGUAAGGGGAAUUUUUGGGUGUGCAGUUGAAUAAUUGUAUAGUUGAAGUUUAGGAUAUAGAGGUAGAUAUGCUAUCACUAUUUCGAGCAAAUCUAUGUUGCUUUCUUCAGUUCACGAUAGUAUUGGCAUCAUGCGGGUCAUAGUCCUUUUCAGGUCCCACAUAGAAAUUUAGAUGGGUUUGAUUUUGGACUUGAUUGUUAUCAUGUUGAGUAAGAUUGUUAACUCAAUAUUCUAUUACAAAAGCCUAAAUGUGCUUAUUCAAAACUAAGCAUUAAUGAGCAAGACAAGACCCUUACUGUAGAUAGGUGAAUCAUGUAGAUCUUGGAAUGCAUAUAGAAACAAGAAUUAUUUGAAGUUUAAAAAAAUGCACACCAAUAGAUCAAAACAAUUACUAUGCAUGGUGUUUUUGUUUUUCCCUUCUUUUUUCAAAUGGUUGGUUUUAACUUUUUUCAAGACAUAUAUAUCUCCCUAAACAUAUAGCUACAUACAUCUGUCUAUUUAUUUAUCUAAAUUAUUCAGAAUUUUCAGUCAGUUUUCAACAUUAAUGACCUUAUCUAGGUAUUUAAAACUAUUUACAAUGAUAAACAGAUUGUUCCAACACAAAAAAAAUUCUGAUUAAUUCGUGCUUUCACACAAGAACAUACUCAUUAAUAAUGUUAGUUAAACAAAAAAUAUGAAAAACAGUUAGAUACAAUAUUACAAAGGUAUGUUACAGUUGAU